CGAAAGCCUGACGGAGCAAGACCGCGUGGGGGAUGAAGGCUCUUGGGUUGUAAACCCCUUUUCUCAGGGAAGAAGUUCUGACGGUACCUGAGGAAUCAGCAUCGGCUAACUCCGUGCCAGCAGCCGCGGUAAGACGGAGGAUGCAAGCGUUAUCCGGAAUUAUUGGGCGUAAAGCGUUCGUAGGUGGCUGUUCAAGUCUGCCGUUAAAGACCGGGGCUUAACUCCGGAAAAACUGUGGAAACUGAACAGCUAGAGUAGGGUAGGGGUAAGGGGAAUUCCCGGUGUAGAGGUGAAAUGCGUAGAUAUCGGGAAGAACACCGGUGGCGAAGGCGCCUUACUGGACCCUAACUGACACUGAGGGACGAAAGCUAGGGGAGCG
rnacentral:rRNA from 1 species